rnacentral:lncRNA from 10 species
UUUAAAUUUUUAAAAAAAGAAAUGAAAGAGGAGACAUUACUACUGAGGUGGGAGGAUCACUAGGGCCUAGGAGCUCGAGGCCAGCCUGGGCAACAUACCAAGACCCCAUCUCUUUAAAAAAGAGAUGUGGAGAAACAAAUUCCUAAGUUACUAGAAUCCCUUGCAAAGUGUUUUUCAAACAAUCCUUGCCCAUAUCACCAAGUCAUUGACUGCAUUCUGCCUUCUGGGUUUGUAACCGAGCCUGCAUUAUGAAAAUCGUGAGAGAUUUGUUUUCCUUAUUUUCCCGUCUUCCUCCAUGCAUGCUGCUGGUAUUUUAUUUUAUUCAUUUUUAGAAUGUUUUCUAAAUUUCAAUAGUUUUGGGGGUACACGUGGUUUUUGGUUACAUAGAUGAGUUCUUUAGUGGUGAAUUCUGAGAUUUUUGGUGCUCCCAUCACCCAAGCAGUGUACACUGUACCCAGUAUGUAGUCUUUGUAGUCAUUUUUUUUUUUUUGACGGAGUUUCGCUCUGUUGCCCAGGCUGGAGUGCACCACUGCACUCAGCUUACUGUGAUCUCAGUUUACUGCAACCUCUGCCUCCUGGGUUCAAGUGAUUCUCCCACUUCAGUCUCCCGAGUAGCUGGGACUACAGGCACCCACCACCAUGCCCAGCUAAUUUUUGUAAUUUUUUUUUAAGUAGAGAUGGGGUUUCACCAUGUUAGCCAGGCUGGCCUUGAACUGCUGACCUCAGGUGACCUGCCUGCCUCGGCCUCCCAGUGCUGGGAUUGCAGGCAUGAGCCACUACCCCCAGCCCAAUACGUGGUCUUUCAUCCCUCACCCCUCUCCCAACUUCCCCACCCCCGAGACCCCAAAGUCCAUUAUAUCACUAUGUAUGCUUUUGUGUACCCAUAGCUUAGCUCCUACUUAUAAGCGAGAACAUGCAAUAUUUGGUUUUCCGUUCCUGAGUUACUUCACUUAGAAUAAUGGCCUCCAGCUCUAUCCAAGUUGCUGCAAAAAACAUGAUUUCAUUGCUUUUUAUGGCUGCGUAGUAUUCGAUGGUGCAUAUAUACCACAUUAUCUUUAUUCACCCGUUGGUCAAUAGAUGCAUAGGUUGGUUCCGUAUCUUUGCAAUUUCAAAUUGUGCUGUUGUAAACAUGCAUUCCACAUCUUUUUUUUUUUAAGGGGAGUCUCACUCACUCUGUCGUGCAGGCUGGAGUGCAGAGUGGCGUGAUCGCCGCUCACCGCAAAUUUCCGCCUCUAGGUUCAAGCGAUUCUCCUACCUCAGCCUCCUGAAUAGCUGAGAUUACAGGUGCACACCAACACACUCAGCUAAUUUUUGCAUUUUUGGUAGAGAAAAGGUUUCGCCCUGUUGACCAGGCUGGUCAAAAUAUCGCUGAUGCCGCCUGUAAUCCCAGCACUUUGGGAGGCCGAGGCGGGCGGAUCACGAGGUCAGGAGAUCGAGACCAUCCUGGCUAAAACGGUGAAACCCCGUCUCUACUAAAAAUACAAAAAAUUAGCCGGGCGUAGUGGCGGGCGCCUGUAGUCCCAGCUACUUGGGAGGCUGAGGCAGGAGAAUGGCGUGAACCCGGGAGGCGGAGCUUGCAGUGAGCCGAGAUCCCGCCACUGCACUCCAGCCUGGGCGACAGAGCGAGACUCCGUCUCAAAAAAAAAAAAAAAAAAAAAAAAAAAAAAAAUAUCGCUGAUGCAUCCUCUCCCACCGCUAGAGGGCAGCAUCCUGGGAAUCCGUUUCCAAAGGGCUGAAAUUGAGUUUUUAAAGGUCACAGACCCUUUUGGUAAACAAAUAAAUGCUCUGGACUCCUAAUUUUUAGGGCAUUUUCUCAUGUUUACGGGUUCUUCUAUAUUCAGAAUUUUAAAAUAUCAUUCUCACCAGGAAUUGGAACUUACUGAAAAAGAAGAGAGUGAAAGAAUUUCUGAGCCAGUGGGAAGUCUGGCCAUGUAGUGCAGUGGAAUGAAAACUAGGACUCCAGGGGGCAAAUGAGGGUAAGCGCUGCUCCUGAAGCAGGGAGUAAUUAAAAGACGACAAUCACUACCUUAGGUGGAAGGUUGGUGAGUUUAGCCCAUGGGAUAAUAUGUGUGCUUUUCUUUUGCGGUUAGGGGUUGAGCCGCAAAAUGCUUUAAACUUCAAUUUAAGAAGAAGAAGGUGAGAACACUUGGGACAUUAUUUUCCCUGGUAGCUAAUUCUGUUUUCCUAACCCCAAUUUGAUUUUUUUGGUUACGUAGUGUUUGGCUUCCCCUAGUGGCUUCUCAAGACAUAUUGGGCCAAUUUUCACUAGAUUCCCACUGUGACAUUAUGUUGUCCAUGUAAUAGUUCAACAAUCAGACUCAGAUUUGCUAAACAUGAAACCUCAUUGCUGCAUCUGACAUUAAAUUUUGAUUCUUCUCAAAUAUAACCUGCCUUCUUCUCAAGAUAGCGUAUACGUGGCCCCUUCCGGAAAGGAAAAUGUUCUUUCCAGAGAAUUCUUGAUUUAAAAAAAAUCCAUAAGAGACUGGGCGCGGUGGUUCAUGCCUGUAAUCCCAGCACUUUGGGAGGCUGGGACCCCAAAAGAGAAGCACAUAUAUUAUCUCAUGGGCUAAACUCACCAACCUUUCACCAAUCACCUAAGGUAGUGAUUGACCUUUUUUAACUGAUCCCCGCUUUAGGAACAGCAUUUACCCUCAUUUGCCCCCUGGAGUCCCAGUUUUCAUUACACUGCAGUGCAUGGCCAGGUUUCCCACGAACUCAGAAAUUCUUUCACUCCCUUCUUUUUCAGUAAGUUCCGAUUCUUGGUGAGAAUGAUAUUUUAAAAUUCUGAAUAUAGAAGAACCUGUAAACAUGAGAACAUACUCUAAAAAUUAGGCGUCCAUAGCAUUUAUUUGUUUACCAAAGGGUCUGUGACCUCUAAAAACGCAAUUCCAGCGCUUCGGAAACGGAUCCUUAGGAUGCUGCCCUCUAGCGGUGGGAGAGGAUGCAUCAGAGACAUCUUCAGGCUCCAUCCAUUUCCAGCCUUGGAAAAGAAACUGUGUCCUAUACUUAAUAAGACAGACUGUCUGUCCAGUGAUGCCUCUCCAAGGCAUAAAGUUGUCUUAUAAUUAUUUCUUACUUAGACUAUGUCUUUGUCAAUUCAGGUUGUUACAACAUCAUACCACAGACUCAGUGUCUUAUAAACAACAGAAAUUUAUUUCUCACAGUUCUGGAGGCUGGAGGUCUGAGAUCUGGGUGCCAGCAUGGCUGGGUUCUGCUGAAAGGCCUCCUCCAGGUUGCACGCUGCUGAUUCCUUGUUGUAUCCUCACAUGGUAGAGAGAGGGCGAGAGAGCUCCUUGGGGUACUUUUUAGAAGGGCACUAAUCCCAUUCAUAAGGGCCCCACCCUCACGAGUUAAUCACCACCCUAAGACCCUACCUCUUUAUGCCGUGACAUUGCCGGGGGGGUUACGAUUUCAAUAUAAAUAUGAGGGGACACAAGCAUUCUGUUUAUUGCAGACCGUUGCCAUACCUUAGAUAUUCAUCUUAUGAGCUGAGACAUUAAAUGAGGGAGUGAAUGAGCCUGAGCUUUUAUUACAAUAAUUAAAUGGGGACCUGGGAAAUCCAGCCAAGCUGUCAGUGCCCACUUCUUUUACCUGAAAAGCCAGUCCUGAAUUCCUAAUUUAACUCUGCUCAGAUGACCAAGAGAUACAUGGGUCUUUAUUGACCCCAAGGCAUCUAGCACA